rnacentral:rRNA from 1 species
AGCUCCAAUAGCGUAUAUUAAAGUUGUUGCGGUUAAAAAGCUCGUAGUUGGAUUUCUGUCGGGGAUGAGCGGUCCGCCCCCUGGGUGUGUAUCUGCUUCAGCCUUGGCAUCUUCUUGGAGAACGUUCCUGCACUUAACUGUGUGGUGCGGUAUCCAGGACUUUUACUUUGAGGAAAUUAGAGUGUUUCAAGCAGGCAUACGCUUUGAAUACAUUAGCAUGGAAUAAUGAGAUAGGACCUCGGUUCUAUUUUGUUGGUUUCUAGAGCUGAGGUAAUGAUUAAUAGGGAUAGUUGGGGGCAUUUGUAUUUGACUGUCAGAGGUGAAAUUCUUGGAUUUGUCAAAGACAAACUACUGCGAAAGCAUUUGCCAAGGAUGUUUUCA